AAUUUUUCCCUUACCAAAUGAAACCCUAGCUGCUGCCUUUACUUCCCUCAGCCACCAAAAUCCUUUUCUCUCCCAAACCCACGCAGCUUCAUGGAAUAGAGAGAAGGGAGAAAGAGAAGCAGAGAGGGAGAAGAGGAAGAAGGGUGAGCCGAGAAGAGGGAGGUGCUGCGUUGCCGCCGCCUCGCCAUAGCCACUUCUUCUGCGCUGUCGUUGUUGUUGGAGAAAGUUGUGUCGCAGUCGUCCAUGAGGCUGUCAUCAUGUGCCAUCGUUAAAGCCAAGGGCCAUCCUGUCGCCGUCAUCCGCGCGAGAUUGCGAAGGGAGAGAGGGACGAACAUGGAGUGAGAAGGAGGGAUGACUGCCACCGUCAAGCUGCUGUAACCCGUCGCCGUUGUUGCGUCUGUUGCCACCGAUGGAGGAGUCCACCGCUGAGCUGGACGCCGGGAAGAAAGGAUGUGAUGGUGGGGAGAGGUGUUGUCGCUGCGGUGGCCGUUGUUGCGGAUGGAGGUUGUCACUGAGCUGCAUGCAGCUGUUGGAGCUGCUCCGCCGCCGUUUUGGUCACCGGGUAUGGCUCCGGUGUUGCUGGAACCAUCACCAAAACUUCUGCAGUUUUGUUCGGUCGUUACUCCUUAGUACGAAGUGGUUUGGAAUUGAGGUUGUAGUUGCCGAGGUUACAGGCUGAGAAGAAAGCGUUUUGACGCGCUGUAUAGCUUUCGAGUUCCGAUGAGUUGAGGUUUUUCUCUUUUCAGGAUAUGGGCGACGGAGCUUCAAAAGAGUUAUAUUCAUUUUCUGUUUAUUCGACAUUAUUUUGUAUUAUCUUAGUUUUUAUUUUUUCCUCGCCUUUAUUUCUAGCAAUUUUUAGAAAAGGGAUAGGAGUUUUGAUAUGUGAAGUUUGUAUAUUGGUAUGAUAUAUAUACAUAUAUAUAUAUAUGUAUUAUUUGUAAGUAUUGUAAUAUGUACUGUAACGUAUGGAUAGAAAUUUUGAAUAUUCGAUUUUAAGUUUUAAACAUGCUCAUAUUUUAGUAUUAAAUAUUUUAAAAGUCAUCGUAAUACCCGAGCUAUCAAAGUGGCGCAGCCGGAAGCGUGAUAUUUUGAUAGUUAGGGUGUUACAACGCUCUGCCACAAAGUUGUUACAACUCAAACAACAAAUCUGAAAAUCCCUCAAUCUUCAAUUGCCUGAUUAUCCCUUUAUGCUUGUAGAAAAAUUAUAUAAAUUUUUACGGAAAUUAUAUAACUAAAUCAAACUUGACAAUCUAAUGUUAACUUCAUAAAAAAAUUCUGAGCAACCAAGAAACCAGUUUGAACAAGACAUAUUCACACUCUCAUAUUAAAAGAAAACAAUUUAAAAUUCCAUAAUCAAUAAACAAUAAAGAAAGAAGAGCUCCUAGUAUCACACUAUUACAAAAUUGUUGAUUACAGAUUAUAGAUAAUAGAUCAUAAAUUACAUAAUAUAGAUUAUAAAAGAACUCCUAUAUUAUAAUUCUAACCUUACAAGAGGUAUUAGUUUAUUCUAUCACUACUUGAGUUUUCUUUCAAUAGAUUACAAAUUUGUGAUUGGAUAUACUAACAAAGUUAAACACACUAUGCACAAAGUUGCAACAACUUAACAAAGCACAAUCGAAAGCAAAAUCCAAAAGAUAACAAUAAAAAAGAUAAUAAUUAUUAUACAAAUAAAAUUAAAAACAUAAACAUGUCAAACAACAAUGGAAGAAAAAAAACCAAUAGUAUGACUUGAGAAUGAUAUAGGUAGCCGCACCAAAUUCAAUGAUAAACUACUAUUUUAUGGUUUAUCUUGUACUAAUUUGAGUGGUUUUUAUCAAGCCUUUGUACACUUAUUCAUACUAUUUGCAUAGUUUUACAUUUUCCCUUCCUAACUUUGUGCUAUGAUUGAGAACAUGAUUCUUUGACCUUAAAUUUGCUAUGUUUAAAUCCCCUCUUAUUACCAUUCGAUGCCGUGAUAUGUGUGUUAAGUGUUUUUAGAGAUUACAGUGCAGGAAUGGCUUAGAGGAUGGAAAGGAAGCAUGCAAAAGUGGAAGGAAUACAAGAAACUGAAUGAACUGCUAAAGUUGUCCAGCCUGACCUCUUGGUACUAAAUCGACCAUAACUUGAGCUACAGAGGUCCAAAUGAUGCGGUUUCAGUUGCGUUAGAAAGCUAACAUCUGGGCUUCGCAACGAUAUAUAUAAUUUGUCAUAGUUGCCCUGAAGAUAGGCGACGCGCAUGUGUAGAUUACGCACACACGUGAUCUGGAGAAAACUCAAUCUAAACGUACGCGUGGACGACGCGUACGCGUGACUUUGCCGCGUGCUGGACGUAUCAGAAAUUGCUGGGGCUGUUUUUGACCCAGUUUUCGACCCAAAAAACACAUAUUAGAGGCUAUAUAGUGGGAGAAUGUAUCCAUUCAUAGAGACAACAUUCAUAAUUCACACAAUUUUAGGUUUUAGAUGUAGUUUUCUAGAGAGAGAGGCUCUCUCCUCUCUCUUAAGAUUUAGGAUUUAGGAUUUCUCUUAGGUUAGGU